rnacentral:sRNA from 1 species
AGAUUCUCCCGGACCCACGUGGAAGCGGCACUCAAGAUGGUAGGAGAAUGAGCUCCUGUUUGGGAGCUGCGCCGCGAGGCCCGCCUGCGCCGCGAGUACCUGUACCGCAAGGCCCGGGAGGAGGCGCAGCGCUCAGCCCAGGAGAGGAAGGAGCGGCUGCGGCGCGCGCUGGAAGAAAACCGCCUGAUUCCCACUGAAUUACGCCGAGAGGCUCUGGCCUUACAGGGGUCCCUGGAGUUUGAUGAUGCCGGAGGUGAAGGUGUGACCAGCCACGUGGAUGAUGAAUACCGAUGGGCAGGAGUCGAGGAUCCCAAGGUUAUGAUCACUACCUCCCGGGACCCCAGUUCCCGCCUCAAGAUGUUUGCAAAGGAGCUGAAGCUGGUGUUCCCGGGCGCCCAGCGAAUGAACCGAGGUCGACAUGAAGUGGGGGCACUGGUGCGAGCCUGCAAAGCCAACGGCGUCACCGAUCUGCUGGUCGUUCACGAGCAUCGGGGCACACCUGGUGAGGCCGGAGGGAGGGAGUCGGGGUGGGAACCGUCUGAGGGCAGACGGGGUCUCUGACAG